rnacentral:rRNA from 1 species
UACGGGGGGGGCAAGCGUUGUUCGGAAUUACUGGGCGUAAAGGGUUCGUAGGUGGCUUGUUAAGUCAGACGUGAAAUCCCUCAGCUUAACUGGGGAACUGCGUCUGAGACUGGUGAGCUUGAGUGCAGGAGAGGAACGCGGAAUUCCAGGUGUAGCGGUGAAAUGCGUAGAUAUCUGGAGGAACACCGGUGGCGAAGGCGGCGUUCUGGACUGCAACUGACACUGAUGAGCGAAAGCCAGGGGAGCAAACGGG